GUGGGGAAUCUUAGACAAUGGGCGCAAGCCUGAUCCAGCAAUGCCGCGUGAGUGAUGAAGGCCUUAGGGUUGUAAAGCUCUUUUACCAGGGAUGAUAAUGACAGUACCUGGAGAAUAAGCUCCGGCUAACUCCGUGCCAGCAGCCGCGGUAAUACGGAGGGAGCUAGCGUUGUUCGGAAUUACUGGGCGGAAAGCGCACGUAGGCGGUUACUCAAGUCAGAGGUGAAAGCCCGGGGCGCAAACCCGGAACUGCCUUUGAAACUAGGUAACUAGAAUCUUGGAGAGGUCAGUGGAAUUCCGAGUGUAGAGGUGAAAUUCGUAGAUAUUCGGAAGAACACCAGUGGCGAAGGCGACUGACUGGACAAGUAUUGACGCUGAGGUGCGAAAGCGUGGGGAGCAAACAGGAUUAGAUACCCCAGUAGUCC
rnacentral:rRNA from 1 species